rnacentral:rRNA from 1 species
GUACCGUCAGAGCAAAGGGGUAUUAUUCCCCUUACUUGUUCUUCCUUCUCCACAGUGCUUUACGAUCCGAAGACCUUCAUCACACACGCGGCGUGGCUGGAUCAGGCUUUCGCCCAUUGUCCAAUAUUCCCCA